rnacentral:lncRNA from 10 species
CGUGGUUUCACCAUGUUAGCCAGGAUCGCCUCGAUUUCUUUCUAUGUCCUAUAGCAGUUUGAAAUUACUUAAAAGUUGUUUCAAAUUGAACAAAUAAAAAUAAUGUGCAUAAAAUAUAAAUAGUUUAAAAAAUUACAAGACAUUACAAAAUACGUAUGUAAAUCUGGAGUUGUCAAAAAUGACAAAUUUGAUUUAUAUAUAAGGUUUUAUUAAAAUUAGCUUUAAUGGAUACUACACUAUUACCAAAGUAAAAGUUGAUUUUCUCUUGAACAAAAAUUUGUUGUAUUAUUAAUAUGACAGCAAAAUACUUCUGUUCACCUUUUGAAUACAUUCAACAGGAGAGAGUAAAAAAGAAAUAGAAUUUUCCCAUGCUCUGGGAUGUAAGAAUUAUCCAAUCAGGGACACUGUGCUGGAAACCGUCCAAUCAGGCACACAGCUGUAGCGAACAGCACGGCUUCCGGGUUUGGCGGGGCCUUUGUGUCUCUCUGCAGCCUGAGCUCCAGGUCUCUUCUUCACUGCUCUGUGUCCUCUGCCCCUAGAGGCCCAGCCUCUGUGGCCCUGUGUCCUGUAGGUAUUAGGAGAUCCACAGCUAGGACGCCGGGAUCCCGGAAGCCCGGAAAUGGUAUUGUUGUCUCCAAGCCAGACCUGAUCAUCUGUCUGGAGCAAGGAAAAAUCCUUUGAGUAUGAGGAGACAUGAGAUGAUUGCCAAACACCCAGGUGGGUGCAAGUGAAAGUGAAUACAACAGACGACACAGUGAGCUUCCUUCAAGUUCACAGUGAAAGCCAAAGUCUUCUUCAUG